rnacentral:rRNA from 1 species
UACGUAGGGUGCAAGCGUUAAUCGGAAUUACUGGGCGUAAAGCGUGCGCAGGCGGUUUUGUAAGUCUGUCGUGAAAGCCCCGGGCUUAACCUGGGAAUUGCAUUGAGGACUGGUGUGCUCGAGUGCGGCAGAGGGGGGUGGAAUUCCGACGGUGUAGCAGUGAAAUGCGUAGAGAUGUGGAGGAACACCGAUGGCGAAGGCAGCCCCCCUGGGCCGACACUGACGCUCAUGCACGAAAGCGUGGGGAGCAAACAGG